GGGGGAAGGCCGGAUCCUGGACUGUGUCCCGGCGCCCUGUGCUCCCGGGUUCUGUGCUGUUGGAUUCGCGCUCCGGCCCCGCAGCCCCCU
rfam:Canis lupus familiaris chromosome 35, whole genome shotgun sequence.